CACGAAACCAGGCGAGCUACUGUGGGGCGUAUAAUAGUACACAUAUAUGUAGCAUAAUAAUAGUAGAUCCAAUAGUAGGAGUGAAAGGCUAUCAAGUCUGGGGAUAUCUUGUUAACUUUGAGACGUAUUUAGUACGCAUACGAGUCACCAGUGACAAGGCUGGUGACAAUUAUGUAGUUCGAUUAUUUGAUAUAACAAAGUCUAACCGUUAGUAUUCAUCUAAUUUAAAUACUGAUAUCCGUUGAUAAUAGAGUGUAGAAGUUGAUAUCUAACUACAACAGAUAUAAAUACUGUAGGUAUUAGUAAUCUAUUUAUCGUUGAUGAACUCGGCAACAUUUCUUUCACCUGUUUAUCAAAAACAUCGCCAAUAGUAAACACCAUUGGUUAAUUCUGCUCAAUGUAUAAUAAAUAGCCGCAGUACCCUGACUGUGCAAAGGUAGCAUAAUCAUUUGGCUUAUAAUUGAAGUCUAGUAUGAAUGGACACAUGGGGGAAAACUUUAUUAGCGGUAUUCUAGAACUUACUUAGUGGGUGCAAAUGCCCACAAUUAAAUAAAAGACGAGAAGACCCUAGAAAUUUUUAUGAUAAGUUGAAGAAAAUUUUUGUUGGGGCAACAUAGUAGCAGUAAACCUACGUUAAUGACACGGCAUAUUAUGGUAAGAUCAAAUUACUCUAGGGAUAACAGCGUAAUUCGGCACGAGAUUGCGACCUCGAUGUUGGACUAGGAAGCAGAUACUUAGAA
rnacentral:rRNA from 1 species